rnacentral:tRNA from 1 species
UCCCUAGUGGCUCAGUUGGAAAAGAAUCUGCCUGCAAUGCAGGAUAUCUGGGUUCGAUCCCCAGGUCAGGAG